rnacentral:misc_RNA from 1 species
UUGCAUGCAGUUCGUGCAUAAACAAUGUUACCGCGGCCGGCCCCAUCCACGUUCCAUCCAAGGUCUAAUUCUACCUCCAUGGUCUAGCUGUGAGAGUAUUGACAUUUUAGAUCAAUACUUUCACUCCAACAACAUGUAUUUGUGUGUUCUUUGCUGAUUUCAUCGAUUGUCGUACUUGUAUAAUAAGCUUUCGAAGUCUGAGUGCAACUUGGCUGAACUAUGAAAGGUUGAGUGCACUGUUUGCUGCGAUGCAGUAGCCGCGGUAUCCCUGGUGCAACAGGCCAAUCCAAAGUGCCGAGCUGCAUUAAAAUCCCUGUCAACAAGCCAACGGAGCGGACACGGGUGAGCCGUUGAAUCGUUAGAUGGUUGUGCAAAGACAAACACUUGGGCAGGACGCUCUCUGAUGACCAGAAACCAAGCUCAGCCCAACGAGCCAUUUUCCCUGAUAAAACAUUAAACACCCAGAUCAAACAGCGAGUUGAUAAUGGCACUUCUGAGUCAACACUACGGUGGUAGGGUACCGGGGAUGCUCAUUAAGGCCUACGGUUCCAUGCCAAGUACCAGUAGAAAGACCAGCAUCCCCAGCACCAUGAGCAACACCAGGGGAUGUGAAGUUGCUCCGGACAAUAUUCCCGUCCUGCCGGAGAACUCGGACCACGGGCAAGGGUGCAACCACGUCAUCUAUCACUAUGCGAGCCAGGUGUUCGGCAGUCUACGGCCGGCUAACAAGACGGACAAACUGGUGCUGGAUGUGGACCUGAGAGCAGGGCGGGAACCGCCAAAGUUGACGGCAAUCAAAGACGAACGGGCCAAGAGGAAAGUCUACGAUCUGGCAUUUGACGCACUCAAAUAUCAAGCCUUACUGGAGGAUAUGCUUGUCGACAGCGGUUACUAUGGCUACGACACAGUGCCUGACGAGAACCACGGCGUCAUCGUGGUCAUCCUGUGCGACAUGCUCAACCGCCGCUUUGCCAGGCGCAUCCCCGAAACCAACGAGCCCGUCAUCCCUUACGUUCAGGAAUUUGAGGACGAGCUGUUCGCCUACACCACCAAGCUGAACGCCUCCCUGGCCCGGAACCGGAUCAAGUUCCAGGCGCGGAGCGUGGAGUGUCUCCUGCCGGAGAAAGUCCGUCAGAGGGAGGAAUGCGGCACCAAGAUGCCCAUAUAUGCAUGGGUUAACCAGCUACAGAAUAGUGUUGAGGAGGUAAUGGAGCAACUGACUGAGGAUGGUUAUAAGAAGGUUCCGUCCGUCAAGGCCCUUGCAGAGUACAGCUUUGCCGUGGACUCCCAGUGCCCUAAUGUCCUGGUCUUUGAUGCUCAGAACAGGAACACCCUGGAGGAUAGUUACCUGGUCCGAGGAGGCAAUCUUAUCAUUCAGGAUAAGAGCUGUUGCCUGGGGCCCCACUCCGUCAAAUCCCUCCUGAAUGAAGGUGACGACGUCAUGCACAUCUACACCGGGUCUGGCUGGACCACGUCCCAUCUGGCGACACUGACCAAUCAGGAACUCUGCACCGUCUACGCGUUUGGGGUCAAAAACGAAGAGCAUAGCGAGCAGUUGAUGGCCAAUGCGAAGAAGCUGGGCAUACACAACGUGAAGUUUCUCCAGGACAACUUUUUUGAGGUCCAGCAUCUGGACAACCGCUUCAAGAAUGUCAAGGUGGUGCUGGUGACCCCGCAGGACUCCAGGUCGGGGGUCACGAACCCUGUGGAAUACAUUAUUCAUGAGGGGGCCGAUGCCAGUAUAUUGAGAGAGUUGUCUCAGGAGCAAGUGGAUAAUGACAAGAUCGACGUGCUAGUGUCUAAACAUAUGGAGCUACUCAAGCAUGCUAUGAAAUUUCCCCGUGUCCAAGCCGUGGUCUACACCACCAACUCCAUCUUCCAGGAAGAAAACGAGAAUGUAGUCACCAAGGUGACGGACUACAUCAACGCUCGCACGAUGGGCAAGAAUCCCUUCCGUCUGAUCCCCCCGGUCCUGCCUCUCACACCAGCCGAGCUGGAGAUGCAGUCGUCUUCAAAGUUCAUCAAGAUGGAGCCGUCGAGUUCCAUGGGAGGAUGCUUUCUGUCUGUCAUGAGUCGGGAGGAUGAGUCCAUGAGUGCCUCCGACGUCCUCGCCAGGGCGGCAGCCAAAGGUCUGUGUGCCCUGCCCGGCGCCAAGCCAACCCCAGCCAGAGGCGACGAAUCCAAACCCAAGAAGAAGACCUCCAAGACCUCUCAGAAGUUGCUGCCCAAGAGCGCCUCGGCCAAGAAGGAGAGGAAGGGGGCCAAGAUAGCCAAGAGUCCCACGCCGGACCACGCCUUCGGAGCCACGGUCAGAAGCCCCAGCCUGCUCGUCAAGAAGCCCAGCAGUAAGAGACUCCGACCCAUCAGAACUGCAAAAAAAGAUACCUCGAAGGGACCAGGGGACGUCCGCCGAAGGACCCAGCAGGAUUCCUGGGCGGAGCUUAGCGCCAAGCAUGCAUUAUUAAUGAGGUCGACCCCCAGAUAGUGACCGGUCUGGGGGUUUGUCCGCAAACCCUGAUUUUUAUUAUUGCAUGCUCUUGUGGUCUGUGCCAAUGCUAUAUCGUCUGAUGUUUGCCCACCACUUCACCAACACACCCACCACUGAGAGACAGCCCUACGGUGUCCCCAUGACCAAAGCGUCCCUAGUCAGAGUACAGCCUAAAGUAGAACUCAUACUGCCCCAUCAGGAGGCCCUCCAGC